rnacentral:rRNA from 1 species
UACGUAGGGUGCGAGCGUUAAUCGGAAUUACUGGGCGUAAAGGGUGCGCAGGCGGUCCUGCAAGUCAGGCGUGAAAUCCCCGGGCUUAACCUGGGAAUGGCACUUGAAAGUACGGGACUGGAGUAUGGCAGAGGGAGGUGGAAUUCCACGUGUAGCGGUGAAAUGCGUAGAUAUCUGGAGGAACACCGGUGGCGAAGGCGGCAUCCUGGACCGACACUGACGCUGAGGCGCGAAAGCUAGGGGAGCAAACGGG